rnacentral:rRNA from 1 species
UAGGGAAUCUUCGGCAAUGGACGGAAGUCUGACCGAGCAACGCCGCGUGAGUGAAGAAGGUUUUCGGAUCGUAAAGCUCUGUUGUUAGAGAAGAACGUUGGUAGGAGUGGAAAAUCUACCAAGUGACGGUAACUAACCAGAAAGGGACGGCUAACUACGUGCCAGCAGCCGCGGUAAUACGUAGGUCCCGAGCGUUGUCCGGAUUUAUUGGGCGUAAAGCGAGCGCAGGCGGUUCUUUAAGUCUGAAGUUAAAGGCAGUGGCUUAACCAUUGUACGCUUUGGAAACUGGAGGACUUGAGUGCAGAAGGGGGGAGUGGAAUUCCAUGUGUAGCGGUGAAAUGCGUAGAUAUAUGGAGGAACACCGGUGGCGAAAGCGUCUCUCUGGUCUGUAACUGACGCGGAGGCUCGAAAGCGUGGGGAGCAAACAGG